AGCAAGUGCAGAAUAACAGUUGAGUGUGCUUUUGGCCAUUUCAAGGCCCACUGGCGCUGCCUCUGUGGGAAGCUGGACCUGGCCGAUGACAAUAUUCCUAUGCUUUUAGCCAUGUGCUGUAUGCUCCAUAAUAUUUGUGAAGGGAAGGGUGAAAGCUUCACUCAGGGCUGGACUGCAGCGGUGCAGUGCCUAGAGGCGGAGUUUGAACAGCCAGAGACCAGGGCUAUUACAGGGGCACAGCGCGGGGCCAUAAGGAUCAGGGAUACCUUGUGGCUUUCAGCUUCAAAUUGCUGCCUCUAAUGUUUGUGGCUAUGCUCGGGAGUGCGGUGCUUGCAAUGCGAGGUGGUGACUGGUGCACACGAUGCAAUACGGGGGUUUAACAUAAUUGUAUGCUGCUUUGCAGUGCUCUUUUUGCUUUCACUUAAUAGAGUAAAGAUUGCUUUCAGACCAACACAAUUCUUUUAUUGAAAGACAACCACCAAAGGAGAGAGUCAAAGGAGUGUGCAGGACCAUGAAAAAAUUCAUCAGCAAAAUGCUUUUAUUUCUUGUUGGGUCAAAUCGUGAAAAUGCUCUGACAAGCAGCGCUGCUGAGUUGAACAUGAGGACUACUAAGGGUAUUGAAUGUCUGCUCUGCUAUCUCCCACUCGACCUCCCAAUUUCACUGGAUCAUUAAAGUCAACAGCCUUCAGAUGUUACUGCCCUGGAAGUGGAUUUUGCCCGUCUUAGUACAAAAGAAACGCUCCAGACAUGAUGGAAGAAGAAAACUGUACAGUAUUUGACCUGUGCUCUAAAGUCAUGCAUCUGCAGCCAUAAGACUAGAAGAUUGAUUAUUGCCAGCCAUCUAACAAAAGAAGAAUAUGCCUGAACACCCAAAUCUGUAUUUAGGCACAUAAUUAAAUAGCCUGAUUUUCAGAGGAACUGAGAUUUUCGGAAGAGCUCAGAGCACUCAGCUCCUCUGCAAAUCAGGCCACUUAAUUCUGUGCCUAAAUAUGGAUUUGUUAUUCAAACUAAAAAUACUGGCCACAGCACUCUGAAAGCAGUCACUCCCAUAAUCACUUUAUAGUAAAUUACUCUCAGUAUUAGUCACACUUUGGUUAAUACACAUAGCAUUUCUUUUAUAUUGUGUUAAAAAUUUAUAACUUUCUACAUUAAACAUCUGCAGAACCAUAGUAUGACAAAUAUUCCUUCAGAAAAAAUGAUCAAUAGUUCUCAUAAUUCUGAAGCACCUUCAUCCUGCCAAAACAAUAGAUUAACUUACCAGUGAAGACAGUCAGAACAUUUGCUAAGAAACAGCUGGAUUCAUUUAUGCUGUUUAACCUCAAAUAUGGCUCUUUUUUUAAACUUAGCUAAGCUCACUUCCUGUUCACACCGUGAAUAUUGAGACACCCAAAGCAGGACAUACAUACAACUACAUACUGACAGGGCUAGCAGUCUCAUUUCCUUUGUGGCUUCCAAGACCAAGACUGAAACAGUCUUGCCACUGGAAGAUCACUGCACUUUUCAGAAGAAGUCACCACACUUAUAAAACCCUUUGAACAUACACAUUUGAGUAAAGACAAAUAGGAGGGUGGGAGCCUCUUCACUUAUAGUAUCUAUCGCUUUGAUUCUCUUUUCACUGCUACUCCGAAACUUUUCACUGUCCUGCGUCUUUAAAUGUAAGUGCCUGUCCUCUCUGCUAGAGGGCAGGGCUGCAAGGCGAUUCAAAAAAAGCAUCUGAGAGACAGACGCACACACUAACAGAUGUUUGUGUUUUGUUUCCCUUAAUCUAAAAUACGUAUUUCGGUCUUUGUGUAGGGAAACAACAAUCUUUUCUACUUCAAGUGUAUCAUGUCAUAAGAUUGUCAGACACAAAUAAAGGGUGUCUAUUAACCUUUCAGAAUUUCUCUUCAAAUCCUAAUGGUUAAAAAUCAGUAAUGUUACUAACAUACAGCUGCCCUCCCAAGUCGGCAAUUUACAUAUUAAAAGAGAUGCAUCACACGUAAAACACCUGACAUAUGCACUCUAAUUGUGAUCCUGAUUUCAUAGGUCAAGUCUGGCAAUUGAAAUAUCUAAGAAUUACUACCUUCCCAUUAACAUGUCAGUGCUAGUAGUCUAAGAAUUUGCUUUUGACAGGUAUACAUUCAAAGACAAGUUAUACUAUAAAACAUAUCCAUAUUUUUAUCUAGUAUUCUACUUGACUUAUUUUAGCAUACAUUUGGGUGAAUGGAAAGCAUAUUCUUUUGUUAAAUGUAUUUCUUUAGCAGCUACAUCAUUGGACUGUACUUCAUUAUUAUGCAGUCAUUUAGUUACCUAGUAUUUAUAGGUUGCUUAAUAUUUCUGUGGGAAACAGUGAAUAUUAUCAACAAACCAUCCCAGACGGCUGAUGGUUGCUUUAAAAACAAGUGACCAUUUCUAAAGCAGCAACACACAUACAGGUGCAUAAAAUAUCAGUAACGUGAAGCAAAAAACAAACAAAAAAACUUGUUUUCUUGUUUGUUGGCAUUUUUUCAAACAAUUGAAAAUAGUGCUAAUUCUAAGAAGAGUUUCACCAAGAUACACAAAGGCUGCUUUUCUUUACAAAGCAACAAUGGGCAAGAUUCAAUGCAAAUCUCUUUACUCAAAGUUUACACAAGUUUGCAUUUUUUCUUCAAAAACUUCAGGGCCUAUAACCAGUAUGCUAUAAUUUUACAAAAAGUAGAAAAUUUUCUGGAUGAGGGAAGGGCACAAGUUGGGUGAAGCAAUACAAAUUCAUACUGAACAAGCAAUUUCAGUUUUGCACAGCUGUAAACAUGCUCUAAUCUUCCCAGUUGUUUGGAGGGUGUGGGAAGGAGUAUUAUAAACUUUUGUUUUUACGUAAACAUCCUGGUUUGCAACAACUUGCACUCUCAAUUUACAGAUUAUAUAAGGGGAUCAUGUCCCCAAAUGGAAACUUUCAGCAUGGCCUUUUAUAUAAAACAGCAGCACCUCCUUGCAGGCACCUCAGCCCUGUACAUAGACCCACACUUCUGGGCAUAUUACACAAUACUGUACAAAGUAUCAUUUGAAAACUCAUGAUUUGAUGAUUACUGUCCUGGUAAAAUGUGUGUGGCAACAUUUAUGUAAGGAUAUAAGAUUCUAUAAUGUUACCAAGACAUGUUCCAGAGGGCAGUCACAAACAAGUUCCCCACAGACAAAAGGCUAGCCAAUGCCUCAGCCAGGUGUCAAUGGGAUCAAAGGGACCAUCACCUGAUUAAGUGGCUACUCUUCAGCAGGAAAGAGGGUGUGGGCAAAAGAUCUACAUUUUUACAAAGAAGCAGCUUAAGUAAGGUUCCUGGUCACACUGCUGGUCUGUCUCCUGAACAUCAGCUGGAGAUGAUUCUUGCACAAGAGAAAGGGUGGUAAGAGGAGAGGGCACACACCCCAAAUCAUCUCUUCCUUGCUUUCUACCCACAACUGCAUCAACAUCUAAAGAACAAAGGAAGCAGCAUUGGACUGGGGGAAAAGAUCCUGACCGAAAGAGGUUCAGCUUGUAAGACUGAUGGAACACGCGGUGAGAAAGACCUGUGCUUUGUAUUUGCUUAGAUGUUAUUGCAUUUUAUCGUUCAUUUCUUUGUAACCAGUUCUGACUUAUAUGCCUCAUUACUUGUAGUAAUUAACACAUUUGUUUUGUGGAUUUAUCUAAACCAGUGUGUUUGGGAAACUCCAUUCGGCAUAA